CGCGCAGGCGGUCUUCCAAGUCAGUGGUGAAAGCCUGGAGCUCAACUCCAGAACUGCCAUUGAAACUGUUAGACUUGAGUACGAGAGAGGUGAGUGGAAUUCCCAGUGUAGAGGUGAAAUUCGUAGAUAUUGGGAAGAACACCGGUGGCGAAGGCGGCUCACUGGCUCGUAACUGACGCUCAGGCGCGACAGCGUGGGGAUCAAACAGGAUUAGAUACCCUGGUAGUCCACGCCGUAAACGAUGAAUGCUAGCCGUUGGGCAGCUUGCUGUUCAGUGGCGCAGCUAACGCAUUAAGCAUUCCGCCUGGGGAGUACGGCCGCAAGGUUGAA
rnacentral:rRNA from 1 species